rnacentral:lncRNA from 1 species
UGUACUUCACAUUCGCAUAUAGUUAAUGCUCAUAUCGAAUAACCAUCAUCGAUUCAAAUAGUUGGUACAGAAUCGAGGAAGUAGUUGGUUAGAUGCCGAAUAUCCUUAGCUAGUUGUAGAUUGCAUGUCGAACCAAGUGGGUUAGAUGCCGACUUAAAUAGGUUCGUUGCCCUUAGUCCAAUGAACACCAAUUAGGUCCAGGCUCGUUGAUCCAAGUCAGAUUGAAUCAUAGCAACUUAGUCAGUGCAGAGAUGAGAAAGAAUCAAUAGUAGCGCACU